rnacentral:misc_RNA from 1 species
UUAACUAUUAUAUAGUACUCAGACAUCACUAAAAGCAAGAGUUGUGGUCCUCUGGCAGGCACUCAACAGCCGAAGCCGCUGGCACGAGGCGGCCUACCAAAGCAACAAAGGUAAUUUAUUCAAGGGUGGAGUUCAGGACCGAACUUCUUCGAGAGGUUCGACGACUCUAAACCUUACCGAAGUAGGGUAGCCCACCACGGAGCAAGCUCCUAUGGGGCGCUGUCUGUCCUUUGCUCUAUUAAUGAUCCUUCCGCAGGUUCACCUACGGAAA